ensembl:snRNA U6 U6 spliceosomal RNA
GUGCUCCCUUCAGCAGCACAUAUACUAAAACUGGAGCAAUACAGAGAAGAUUAGCAUGGCCUCUGUGCAAGGAGGAAUGAAUAGAAUUUCAAAGGUAACAACAGUCC